rnacentral:rRNA from 1 species
UACGUAGGGGGCGAGCGUUGUCCGGAUUUAUUGGGCGUAAAGAGCGUGUAGGCGGCUUGGUAGGUCUGCUGUGAAAACUCGAGGCUCAACCUCGAGACGUCGGUUGAAACCACCUGGCUAGAGUCCGGAAGAGGAGUGUGGAAUUCCCGGUGUAGCGGUGGAAUGCGCAGAUAUCGGGAGGAACACCCGUGGCGAAGGCGGCACUCUGGGACGGUACUGACGCUGAGACGCGAAAGCGUGGGGAGCGAACAGG